CACGUAGGCACCAAGCGUUGUCCGGAUUUAUUGGGCGUAAAGAGCUCGUAGGCGGUUUGUCACGUCGGGAGUGAAAACUCGGGGCUUAACCCCGAGCCUGCUUCCGAUACGGGCAGACUAGAGGUAUGCAGGGGAGAACGGAAUUCCUGGUGUAGCGGUGAAAUGCGCAGAUAUCAGGAGGAACACCAGUGGCGAAGGCGGCUUACUGGUCCGGUUCUGACGCUGAGGCGCGAAAGCGUGGGGAGCAAACAGG
rnacentral:rRNA from 1 species